rnacentral:rRNA from 1 species
AUGCACGCUGGCGGCGUGCCUAAUACAUGCAAGUCGCGCGAACAGACGAGGAGCUUGCUCCUCUGACGUUAGCGGCGGACGGGUGAGUAACACGUGGAUAACCUACCUAUAAGACUGGGAUAACUUCGGGAAACCGGAGCUAAUACCGGAUAAUAUAUUGAACCGCAUGGUUCAAUAGUGAAAGACGGUUUUGCUGUCACUUAUAGAUGGAUCCGCGCCGCAUUAGCUAGUUGGUAAGGUAACGGCUUACCAAGGCGACGAUGCGUAGCCGACCUGAGAGGGUGAUCGGCCACACUGGAACUGAGACACGGUCCAGACUCCUACGGGAGGCAGCAGUAGGGAAUCUUCCGCAAUGGGCGAAAGCCUGACGGAGCAACGCCGCGUGAGUGAUGAAGGUCUUCGGAUCGUAAAACUCUGUUAUUAGGGAAGAACAAAUGUGUAAGUAACUAUGCACGUCUUGACGGUACCUAAUCAGAAAGCCACGGCCAACUACGUG